rnacentral:misc_RNA from 1 species
GUAGGUGAACCUGCGGAAGGAUCAUUACAAGUCAUGGAGAUGGGGUUGUCGGGUGGGUGGGGGUGUUGGAGGUGAGGAUUGUGAGGGUUGUAUAAUCUGAGGAUUGUGCAAUCUGUACAGUCACACCACACACAACAUCCCCUUCCCACUCUCUCCCCUCCCACAUACGUUCGGAGUCGUAAGGCUUCGUAACACAUUCACGCUUGAUUUGUUUGUCAGAGUAAGAAUACAUAAUGAGCCAUGACAACUUUUAACAAUGGAUCUCUUGGCUCUU